rnacentral:rRNA from 1 species
GGUUAAGCGACUAAGCGUACACGGUGGAUGCCCUGGCAGUCAGAGGCGAUGAAGGACGUGCUAAUCUGCGAAAAGCGUCGGUAAGGUGAUAUGAACCGUUACAGCCGGCGAUGUCCGAAUGGGGAAACCCAGUGUGAUUCGUCACACUAUCGUUAACUGAAUACAUAGGUUAACGAGGCGAACCGGGGGAACUGAAACAUCUAAGUACCCCGAGGAAAAGAAAUCAACCGAGAUUCCCCCAGUAGCGGCGAGCGAACGGGGAGCAGCCCAGAGUCUGAAUCAGCUUGUGUGUUAGUGGAACGGUCUGGAAAGUCCGACGGUACAGGGUGAUAGUCCCGUACACCAAAAUGCACAGGCUGUGAACUCGAAGAGUAGGGCGGGACACGUGGUAUCCUGUCUGAAUAUGGGGGGACCAUCCUCCAAGGCUAAAUACUCCUGACUGACCGAUAGUGAACCAGUACCGUGAGGGAAAGGCGAAAAGAACCCCGGCGAGGGGAGUGAAAAAGAACCUGAAACCGUGUACGUACAAGCAGUGGGAGCACC